GCUUCGCAAGUGGCGAGUCGGGGCGGCCGGGCCCUGGGUGCCGCUCCGCCGAAGAAGCCGGGGUCACAGGCUCGCGCGGGGCAGUGGGCUGGUCCCUGGGCGCCGGCUGCGCGAGCCUGGUGAAGGAUGGGAGAGGCUGGCGCGCUCCCCAGGUCUGCCCGGAGCCGGCACCUUCGGAGCUGGUGACGUCCAUUGACCUGAACGGGAUCACAGGCUGCCUUGGAGCUGGAUGAUGGAGAGGAAGAGCCGCUGCUCACCCAAAGGGAGUUGGAGUGGCCAGGAUCAGAAGAAGGAGAGCUGAAGGCUGGCAGGCACAGAUGGGUUUCAUCACUCUAGGAAGGGCAUCAGCCUGGGGAGAGUUCUUCUGGGCCAUCGGCUCCCAUCAGCCAUGAAACAGUAGAGGGAGGAGAGGGGCCUCUCCAGAGAAGUGUCCAUGGUCCUGAGCCUCACUCCACCCUCUAGAAAGUCCUGCUUGUGACCACCCUCCUGCUGCCCAGUGGAAUGCUCACAUUUGGUAGUGGCUGAAAUAGGGAACCCACUCAAGCUGGCCUCCCUUACAGGUGGGCUAAUAGCUCAGCAGCGUUGUCCCAGGCCUGCUCUUUCCACCUGGCAGCUGGGCAGGUGGUGAACAGCUGGGAGGGAAGUCAUCAGUCAGAAAAACAUGCACAGAACACUUGCUGCAAGUGAAAAUGAAGGAGCAUCAUGCCCCGAAGCACCGAGAAAAUGCACUGGGGCUGGCGGUAGGCAAGGAGUGGGAUGUGGGUGAGGUAGUGGUACCUAGGCAUGAAGAACUGAGACAAGAAAGCUCAGCUUCCCUGAGUCACUAGCCUCUUGAGAGAGCUCCAGCCCGGGCGUGCCCACCCCUUCAGCCACAAGGAGGAGGUCUGAGCCCCAGGCCAGGAGACCACCAGUGUUCUCUGAGGCCUUUCUUACUUACAUGUAAGCCCCUUCAAAUGGCAGCGGUGUCUGGGGUGGCCAUGAGUACCAGGGGUAGGGAUCUAGGGCCUAAGCAGUGGACAGGGCCGGCAGUGGGCCCAGCAUUGAGAAGUCAGCCCAGCGCCAGCUCCAGGAGGCAGGAGGGUGUGCUUGUCUUGGCACCUUUUUAUCUUGGAGGCGUUCAGAGCCCUUGAGAAAUCCCAUCUUGUUUCUUCUGCUCUCAACUCAGAGUGUCUCGGGAGGUUGUGGGCUCCAGCGACUUGCCUGAAGGUUGGCAUUCAGUGCAGCUGGGAAAUCGUUGCCUAGACUUGGGGUCUGGCCCACCCCCUCCAAGACCAGCAAGAGGAAGCCAUUGUCACGAUGGAGAAGCUUUGCUCUUCCCUCUUCCUCCGCAAAGGACAAGCAGGAAGGCCAGCACCAGCUGAGACGGGCAGCCACCAGCACCCCCAGCCGACUGUCUGUGCCCCAGACCAGGGUGUUCUUCCUGCGCUUGGGGCGGGUGGGGAGCAGGUUUCUGUAACCGAGCAGCUCCUGGGUUACUGAGGAGGCGGCUCUCCCUGCCACUUCUGAUUGCCCCUCCCCUCAAGGUCCCUGCAACCAGGGAGCCAUGUAGCCAUGGCAAUCUUCAGCACCCCUGCUGGCAACCAGAGGGUCCCCUGCGGCAGGCCCUUGCACAUGCAGGGUGCUAAGCCUGGGUCGGAGGCAAUAAUCUGACCACACUGAGCUGUGACACUGACCCCGGGCCAGCUGAGCCCGGCUCGGGGCCACCCGGGAGAAAAGGACUGGGAGCAGCAAGAAUGAAAGUACACUUCUUCAUCAGCUUAUUUUUAGUCACGUUAUGUAAGUGGCUUCAUCUUAACGUCAUGUGGGGGGGGGGUUCUCAGAUUUAAUUACAGGAUGACAGCCUUUGCUUUUCAAGCAAGCUGUUCUCCUGGCAAGGCAGGCACAAGGAUUUGUGAAUUUUUGCUAAACAGAAGGAGCCCUUUCUGAGGUGACUGCCCAGCAAAACUUUGAAGGGUUUUCACUUCCAUCUCUCUCUCUGACCAGCCUAACCUGGUUUCCGGGGAGCUUGGCCUAAGGGAGUGGCGAUUUGUCUCAGAUCACAGGGAAAUUUCGGCCUGUCAAGGGAGCUGUCUCCCUCCCCUCCCCUCGCCUCUUGGCAGCCUCCCUGUCUCUCCCAGGGGAGGGUCCACCCAAUCAGAACUCCUCUUCCUUUUCUCCUUCCUGGAUUAAAGCACUCGUAAAUCUGUAACCAGAAAGUUCCAGAGCAGGAGAGAUGGGAGGCGCAUCCGGAGCCGGCCUCAUUCUCCGCACUCUCCCGGCCUUUGCUGCUUCUGCCCUCCACGCUGGGAGCUCUGGGCCACUGGCCUGGGCCGGGGUCACGGGGCAGAAGUGUCCAAAUUGUGUCUAUAGUGCUGUUUCCUGGUUCCUGGCCAGGCCCACAUUCUUCAUGACCAUCAGCAUCAUCAGGAAGAAGGUGCAGAGGCUGCCGAGCCCCGGGAGUCCUGCCUCCCGCCAGCAGGAGGGCCACCUCAGCGGCCUCAGCACUUCAGCUUGUCCAGUGUAAAGGGCAGAGCUGUGUUUCCUGCCUCAGAGUGAGGCCUGAGUGUGCGUGGAGGGAGUGGUGGAGGAGCCAGCACUCAGACACCAGCAGCAGCCGCCGUGGGGCCUGGGCAGGUUUCACGGCCUCCCGAGCCCUGCCUGGAAGUGGAGGUGGGCAUGGCGCCUGCCGCAGAGCAUCGGCAGGAGGAGUCGGGCGUAAGCAGGGCAGGCCAAGCUCCAAGAACCGUGCCUGGCAUGUGGCGGGCCCUCAAUAUGUUUAAGGUCAUUGUCAUUAGUGACCAGAUGGGACAUUUCUAGGACACACUCAAAUGGUGCGUAGAAAGGCACGUGAGAUGCUGCUCUUUUAAAAAGUGGAGUGCCUUGAGAAGAUUCCACAGCCCUUCAGUGUGGGCUGUGCAUGGUGACUUCCUUCCAGAGAGCACAAGAUGGAAGGGGAGAAAGUGACUUUACCUGGGAGACACUGGCAAGCGCACCUCAACCAGGUGAGCCGGUCACAUCAACAAUGUGAGUCACAGUGAUCAUACGUGGCCUUGAUGUGACGGGAAGGACACUUCACCUCUGUGCUCUUCCUCCCCCAAACCCACAAGCCCAGUCUAAUCAUAAGAGAAACAUCAGACAAAUCCCAGCAGAGGGACAGUCUACAAAGUCCCGGAUGAGCACUCUGCAAAGCUGUCACGGUCAUCCGGGACCACAAAAGUCUGAGAGACCGUCACAGCCCAGAGGAGCCUGAGGAGACAGGACAACUAAACAUCAGGUGGGAUCCAGGAUGGGAUCUGGGAACAGAAGGACUUUAGGCAAAAACUGAGGAAAAUGAAUAAAGUAUAGAUUUUAAUUAAUGUA